UUCUGUUCAAGGUGUUUUUUUGCCUUUCGGGAUCAAGAUCAACAACAGGCAUGAGUGACUGAACCUGGUUAACUUCUAGGGGCCUGCUAAGCAACAUAAAGCUUGCUGUAGUGCUUAUAUAUCUUGGAGAGGGUAUCAUGACGCUUUAUAUCAAACCAUAUCAAUAGCUUGACUUACACCAAACUCUUCCUGGCACCAAAUUUAUCGAUAUCAAAGAUUUAACAU